rnacentral:rRNA from 1 species
GACGAACGCUGGCGGCGUGCUUAACACAUGCAAGUCGAGCGGAAAGGCCUUUUGGGGUACUCGAGCGGCGAACGGGUGAGUAACACGUGAGUAAUCUGCCCAUCACUCUGGGAUAGCCAUCGGAAACGGUGAUUAAUACUGGAUAUGAGAUCUGGCCGCAUGGUUGGGUUUGGAAAGUUUUUCGGUGAUGGAUGUGCUCGCGGCCUAUCAGCUUGUUGGUGGGGAAUGGCCUACCAAGGCUUCGACGGGUAGCCGGCCUGAGAGGGUGACCGGCCACACUGGGACUGAGACACGGGCCCAGACUCCUACGGGAGGCAGCAGUGGGGAAUAUUGGACAAUGGGCGGAAGCCUGAUCCAGCAACGCCGCGUGAGGGAU